AAAUUCUGCAAAAUAAAUCUAGAUUUUAUUGUUUCGGUCGGCAAUAUGUAAGCCAUUCGAUCAGUCGUAAAAAAACCAUUGAAACAGUCAGUACAACUAUCAUUGCAAAUAUUUAAACAAAAAUGAAAUAUAUAUAUAUCUUACUCUUCUGUGCUAUUUCAAAUGUUUUGGCAAAUCAUUCUUAUGAUAGUACAGGCUGGAGAAGGACGCUUCAUGCUACAAACCUACUCAUUGAAAUACAUGAUGAAAAAGGGACCCUUUGGAAUAAAAUAAAAGAAAUUGUUGCACUUAAUCUUCCCAUGAAGUCAUUAUCUCAUAUGUGUGCAGUAUCUG